UACGAAGGGAGCUAGCGUUGUUCGGAAUUACUGGGCGUAAAGCGCGUGUAGGUGGAUAUGCAAGCCAGAGGUGAAAUCCCGGAGCUCAACUCCGGAACUGCCUUUGGAACUGCAUGUCUAGAAUAUCAGAGGGGGUAGUGGAAUUCCUAGUGUAGAGGUGAAAUUCGUAGAUACUAGGAGGAACACCAGCGGCGAAGGCGGCUACCUGGAUGAUUAUUGACACUGAGACGCGAAAGCGUGGGGAGCAAACAGG
rnacentral:rRNA from 1 species